GGAUCUCUGAUGAUUCCCAAUCAAACAUUCUUUGGAAAAUCUGAACAAAGUGAGUGAAAACUCAUUACUGCUACUCUCAUAGGGACUGAGGUCU